UUAGCUUUUUUAAAUAAGUGCUUAUUUAUGACUGUAUUUUAAAACAUAAAGAGAAGCUAUCUCGAAAGUUAUUAAAUAAGCAUUAUAUCACCCUGUCUAUAAAAUUAGCACUGUAGUUAAAAGAAGGUAGAAUAGAUCUUGAUUCCAAAGAUACAGUAUUACAGUGACAUCAGUAUAUCUGAAUAUUCUUACAUUUAAUUGCAGAAGAAAAUAACCACUUUUUUAAAGCAAAAUAAUGUCUUUAUAUUUAUAGCAAAUGUCAAAUUUAUUUUCAAAUGCUUUUUCUCCAAUAUUGAUGAGGGCCCUAGUCCUCCAGAGCAGUUUACGGCUGUCAAAUGAUCUGAUUCCAGAAUCACCCUGAAAUCUGGCUAUGGAAAAUAUCUUGGUAUAAAUUCAGAUGAACUUGUUGUUGGACAUUCAGAUGCAAUUGGACCAAGAGAACAAUGGGAACCAGUCUUUCAAAAUAUUAGAUCCUGUGCUGAAAGAGAAACCAAGAAAAAAGAUGACAUUCCAGAAGAAGACAAAGGAAAUGUAAAACAAUGUGAAAUCAAUUAUGUAAAGAAAUUUCAGAGCUUCCAAGACCACAAACUUAAAAUAAGUAAAGAAGACAGUAAAAUUCUUAAAAAGGCUCAGAAAGAUGGAUUUUUGCAUGAGACGCUUCUGGACAGGUAGCUAUUUAUUUACUUAUUUUCACUAUUUUCAGUAGCCAAUAGAAAUGGCAUGUAGAAAACCUAUAUUCUCUUAAAUUACUGUAGUUUUCACAUUUUUGUCUUUAUUUCUAAUUUAUGAGUGUGGCAAUAUUACCUGGAGAGGACAUCAUGAGUUUGGGAAAAGACUGUCAAGAAAGAAUAUCUAAAAAUUAUAACCGAUUCUAAGUAUAUACUUUAAGAAAUUCAGGUUUGACUGUAUCUACUUCAUAAAUUUAUCAUUAUCUUUUUAUAACUAUUAGAACCAGAGUUAGAAACAAGCAGUUUGACUAGUAUAAAAAUUAUGUGGAUUCUGUUAGAGUAGUUCAGGUUCCUUAAAAUAAGCAUAGAUGAACUAAAAAAACUAAGUAUAAAAGCUAAAUAAGUGAAAUUGAAGCAGUUUUAUUGUAAGAUUUGGAAGAGUGCAGGAUGUUUAUCAUAGCACAUUGUUAAUAUUUAUUACUCUUCCUAUGUAGAUAAGUGAUGUCCUAGAUUUACAACAUAGAAAAACAGGUAGAGACGUUUAGCUGUGAGUGUACAAGUAUAAAUCAAUUAAGUGCCAGAUUUUGAUAAUCACCAGCCGCUCAUUGAAGUCCUAUGUUUCAAAGUUACUCUUACCCUUUUUUUACAUUACUUGAUAAAGGCAAUGUUUAAUUACAUAUUUCCUGUUAACUAGCUGGUAGAGUUCAUACCUAAAGUCAGUAAAUAAUGUUAAGAAUUUUUUCCAGCUGAGCAAAUGAAUAUGUAUCUAGUUGUAAGAAAUCAAGAAGAGGAUAUAAAAUAUAAUCAGGAUGUGGACUCUAAAAUGGAAUAACCUCUAUGUCCUGUAACUUUUUUCAUGUGUAAUAAUACAGCAUUCUCACCCUGUUAAAUGGAAAUUUAGAGCACCCUUAAAUUCCAGAAUAGUUAAAAUUGCUAUUUGGAUUGAAAAAGCCCUUAGGCAACAUUUAUUGAAUAUCAGGAACUAACUUUUAUAAGAUUAGAAUCCAUUUUUUAUAGAAACCAAAUUUAAAAGUAUACAUAUUUUAAUAUAAUUGUUGUGGUAAUACAAUAACCAAAAUUGAACACACAGUUUUAAAGCUUUUUAUAUUUAGUAGCAGUUGAAUAUAUAUGGCAUGUUUUACAUAGAUUAAUUUUACUAUUUUUCUUUUUUUAAACAAGAGAACCAAAUUGAAAGCCAACAGAUACUGCAAAUGACUGGGAUUUUUGUUUCUGCCUUAUCUUUUUGUGUUUUUUUCUGAAUAAAAUAUUCAGAGGAAAUGCUUUUACAGA